rnacentral:rRNA from 1 species
UACGUAGGGCGCAAGCGUUGUCCGGAAUUAUUGGGCGUAAAGAGCUCGUAGGUGGCUUGUCGCGUCUGCCGUGAAAGCCCAUGGCUUAACUGUGGGUCUGCGGUGGAUACGGGCAGGCUGGAGGCUGGUAGGGGCAAGCGGAAUUCCUGGUGUAGCGGUGAAAUGCGCAGAUAUCAGGAGGAACACCGGUGGCGAAGGCGGCUUGCUGGACCUGUUCUGACACUGAGGAGCGAAAGCGUGGGGAGCGAUCCGG